rnacentral:rRNA from 1 species
AGCGAACGCUGGCGGCAGGCCUAACACAUGCAAGUCGAACGGACCCUUCGGGGUUAGUGGCGGACGGGUGAGUAACACGUGGGAACGUGCCUUUAGGUUCGGAAUAGCUCCUGGAAACGGGUGGUAAUGCCGAAUGUGCCCUUCGGGGGAAAGAUUUAUCGCCUUUAGAGCGGCCCGCGUCUGAUUAGCUAGUUGGUGAGGUAAUGGCUCACCAAGGCGACGAUCAGUAGCUGGUCUGAGAGGAUGACCAGCCACAUUGGGACUGAGACACGGCCCAAACUCCUACGGGAGGCAGCAGUGGGGAAUCUUGCGCAAUGGGCGAAAGCCUGGCGCAGCCAUGCCGCGUGGAUGAUGAAGGUCUUAGGAUUGUAAAAUCCUUUCACCAGUGAAGAUAAUGACUGUAGCCGGAGAAGAAGCCCCGGCUAACUUCGUGCCAGCAGCCGCCGUAAUAC